GGGAGCGACUUGGCUUCGACAGGAGUAAGUCUGCUUAGAUGGCAUGUCGCUUUGGGCAAAGCGUAAAAAGCCCAAAUAAAAUUAAACGCAAACAACGUUAAAUUCGCUCCUGCUUACGCUAAAGCUGCGUAAGUUCAGUUGAGCCUGAAAUUUAAGUCAUACUAUCUAGCUUAAUUUUCGGUCAUUUUUGAUAGUGUAGCCUUGCGUUUGACAAGCGUUGAGGUGAAAUAAAGUCUUAGCCUUGCUUUUGAGUUUUGGAAGAUGAGCGAAGUAGGGUGAAGUAGUCAUCUUUGCUAAGCAUGUAGAGCUCUUUGUGGGAUUAUUUUUGGACAGGGGUUCGAUUCCCCUCGCUUCCACCA
rnacentral:tmRNA from 1 species